GCAGUAGCCGCGGUAAUACGAAGGGGGCUAGCGUUGUUCGGAUUUACUGGGCGUAAAGGGCGCGUAGGCGGACUGAUAAGUCAGGGGUGAAAUCCCAAGGCUCAACCUUGGAACUGCCUUUGAUACUGUUUGUCUUGAGUUCGAGAGAGGUAAGUGGAACUGCGAGUGUAGAGGUGAAAUUCGUAGAUAUUCGCAAGAACACCAGUGGCGAAGGCGGCUUACUGGCUCGAAACUGACGCUGAGGCGCGAAAGCGUGGGGAGCAAUCAGGAUUAGAUACCCGAGUAGUCCCUGUCUCUUAUAC
rnacentral:rRNA from 1 species